CCCGCUGUCGGGGCGGGUGAAGGGAUCUGCAGUGGGAUGGGAAUUUUGACUGGGCUUCUUGACAUUCCAUCCAGCAGCCUUUGAAGCAAAGCAAUUCACUGGCUCAUGCUGUUGUUUCAUUUUCCAAAAAAAGUUUUUCUCCAGGCAGGGUAGGGAAGGCUUCUUGUGAGGUCUGCAGACGUGAUUGUGUAAGAUGAGGGGAACAGUUCUGCCGUGAGCUGUUGGGAUUUUCCACAAGAGGUGAUGGUGCUUGAGGAAUGGCAGGAUGUAACUGAGUCCACCCCAGUAAGAAAGGGAAUUUUUAUUUUUCAGUGACAUGCUAACAAAAGCUUAGCAAAUACCACAGAUAGACAACAGCAGAAGCAUGUGGAAAAUUAGCAACAGGACAUAAGCAACUAUGGCAUUUAGUAAAUAACAUGAAAGCAACAUAACAUUUAAUAACAAAACUAAAAUGAUAAACUAAAUCUGUAGGCUCAUGAAUGCUGACGUGGAACUGGAAGGUAAUUUGGCCAGUGAGGGUGCUAUACAGGUUCCACACCCUGUUGAAAUCAACUCAGGCCUUGUCCAUUUCCCUGGUUAAAUUCAGCUCUGCCAACCUCUCCUGCUAAUUUCAUGCUCUUGGCCACCCCUGGUUUGUCAGUGCUUCCAAAAAGCCUCCAAGCAUUUUAUGUUUAGAUAAACUCCACAGAUGCUCUGCCUUUUUUAGUAUCUUUGACAUUCUGAACAUUAUAGGCACUGAUUCUGGUGGACAAAGGGGCAGAUACUUAAAUCAGACCUGUUUAACACUCAUUGUCCAGUUUCAGAGAUGAAAGAGGUUGUUUAUUUUUUCAUCUUUCCUUCCCUUGCAGUUUUGUGAUGCUGCCCCCAAUCCUGCUGUGUACUUUGGAAGCCCCUGGACACUAUGACAACCACAAAAAUGGGCUUUGAAUCAUCCUGAAGAGGAUAAAAGUGAGCAAAGCAGCCAUCAAUACUGCUUCCAAUAACACAGCCAUAGCAAUUAAUUUGAUGUACCCUGUUUCAAGGAUGUCAAGAUGAUUUACAAGAUUCUCAAGUCAGUUAAAUCACAUCUUUCCAAGUCCUUACCUCCAAAGACGGAGCCUUUCCAGCUGCGACCAGUGAAGAGGAGCAUGGGAUCAAAAGUGAUCUUUUGUGCUGCAGGGGGCACUCCCACAAUCACACUGACUCCGUAGUUAUACUGACAACUGGCCAAGGCUGCAGUCUGAAUUAGAAACAGAGGGACACCCAGAAUCAGGCAAGAUUUGUUCUUGGGGCACAGAAGUUUGAACUCCAUCUCCUCCUCUCGGGGCUCUGCUUGCAAUUAAUUUUUUGUAACUGAAACCGUGUAAAAAAUUAUCCAUUGUAUCUGCUCAUACCAUUGCAUCUGCUCUCACUGGUUAAGUAUAUACUAGCUUUGCUCUUCUCACCCAUUUUGUCUAAACUAUUAGUGAUAAGCCACUUGUGGACAGCAUGUGAAAUACAUGACAUGUAACCUCCCUGGUCUGGCCAGGGCACUACAGUGAAGUUCCCUCUCCUAAAUUUCUGAGCAUGCUUCUGUCCCUGCAUCUCAGUGGCCGACAGCUGGACUUAACAGGUUUGAAGUUAGCUUGGUACUCUGGCAGUGGCUCCCAGCUCCUCUUCCUCCUUGGUGCCUGGUGGCUUGAUGAAGGGAGUGCUAAGGCGUCUCACCCCAUCUUUUGUUGCAUACCAUGGUAUCCGUCCGGCCGAUGACCUCGAAGGAGUAGUCCACACCCCCUCCGGUCAUUUCCAUCAACACUUCGUGGAUGGGCUUACUGAAAUCUUUAGGGUUGAUGCAGUCGGUGGCUCCCAGCUCCUUGGCCUUGGCAAACUUGUCCUUGUUGAUGUCCACGGCAAUGAUGCGGGAAGCUCCAGCUGCCUUGCAGCCCAUGACAACAGAGAGGCCAACUCCUCCGAGGCCGAAGACGGCACAGGAGGAGCCUGGUUCCACCUAUAAUAACAACCAUGUAAACAUGGCGUAUGGUUACAGGCUAGGGAAAGUACCCUGCAUUUCCUCAUUAUCAACUGGAUUUCACUUAAGCCACUUCUUGCAAUUUAGAGAUUACCUGCUGAGAAGGAAUUUGCACAUGGAUACCUGCUAGUGCAGUAGCCAGCUGUACUGUUAUAAUGCUACAUGUGACUAGGAGAAAUUCUCCCUAAAAUACAUUUCUGAGACCCGCUUUUCAUUAUAUGUCUCAGCUUCAGGUUUGGACACACCUUUUUUUAAUGAUGCUUUGUAUUUUACUCGUGUUAAGAUCUAUAGUGUCACUGAACUCCUGACACUGCCAGCCCUAAAACUCACAUUCAUAUAUUGCUACAAUUGUGAGUGUUGCCUAUAUGUGUUGCUUCUAUCUAUUCCUAGACUUCAGUUGCAAUAAAAAAAUGAAUUCUAUUGUAACAUUUUUCUAGGGGUGGUAAAGCUAUGAGGGAAAACAAUAUAGAUGGUAAUAAGUAAUUUUACUGGAUUUUGAAUUGAAGACUUCUGAGUACCCUAGAGACAGAAUCUGAAGUAGGCAAAGAGCUAGUAUCUUCUUUCCACACUGGACUGAACAGAGUCUGUACCUCCUGGCUGCCAUGCUGACAACCCACUUGCAGGCUACACAGUCUUGAGCAGACACCAUAAAAUAUCAGAAACACCCAUCACAAUAUUUACCUUGGCAGUCUGCACAGCAGCCCCGUAACCAGUUGAAAAUCCACAGCCAAUUAGACAGACUUUUUCCAGAGGAGCAGCAGAAUCGAUUUUGGCCACAGCAGAUUCAUGCAGUACUGUGUAUUCACUGAAGGUACUUGUACCAAGAAAAUGGUAAAUUGCUUUUCCUUUACAGGUGAAUCUGGUGGUGCCAUCAGACAUGAAUCCAGCACUUGUACCAAGGCUGUUUGAAAGAUGACCAGAAGUAAUGGCAAGUGAACUUUGUUUGUAAUCAGUUUUGGAUAAAGUCAAAUCAAAUUAGGGUUGUAAGUAAUCCAGGAAAACUCACUCAGUUUUACUGCACAGGUUACCCUUGGCAUUUAAGCAGUUCUUGCACUCCCCACACUGUGGAACAAAGAGUGGAAUAACCUUGUCUCCUGGAAAUAAAACAGUAAUGACAGAGGAUUAAAAAAGGCAAACAAGACGCAUGCAGCGUGGAGGAAUCCCAUCUCAGCUUGCAGCACUUGGCUGAAAAUUGUCAUAUUUCACUGACUAUCUGUGCACUGUGGUUCAAAGAGAACACAGGGAGUGGAGCAGCUGGUCCAGAUGAGUGUCCUCAGAGCAAUCCCGCCCUCAGGGAGCAGUGCUGCCUCACCUGCGCUGAUGCUGCCCACAUGCAGCAGGGUGAGCAUCCCAGUUGUGCCCUGAUGCUUUUAAAGUGAAGUAAGACCUAAGUUCUGCUCAACUGAAGUCAACAGAUUAUUUAUCUGUUAAGAGAAUUAAAAGGUGCUUUGACUUGUUUGUCAUCUAGUGCUUUGCUUUGCCUCAUCCUUGAGAAAGGUGAGCUGUAUAAACUGUGUUUGGAAAACCUGCAGCUAAUGCCUGAUUUCGUAUGCACAACAGCAAAGACUCUACAUUCUUAGUCCCACAACAGGAAAAACACGAUGUAGGUGGAAAGCAAGCUGCAGAUGUUUUUUGCCAAAACCAAAAGAAAUUUAGUAGAAAAUCUGAAAGUAUAUUGGGGAUACAGAAAGGUAUAAACAGCAGGUUUAUAUCCUUUGAGGUAUCCUUGAAAAAAUUGAAAUUGGAAUAUUUUCCUGUGCAGUAAAAAUACUCAUGAAAGAAAUAAUCUUUGACUUGAGGAGUCUGAAAACUCAGCACAGGAUUUGUUUUCAGUGCUGUUUCAUACCUGGCUUGACUGCAGUCACUCCUUGCCCAACACUCUCCACAACACCAGCUGCUUCAUGCCCAAGAAUUAUUGGAAAAGGCAUAACCAUUGCACCAGUUACCACAUGGUCAUCAGAGCGGCAGAUCCCAGUGGCCAUGAUCUGAUUCACAGGAAAGACAAGAAUAUUUCUGCAUUUAACUGAGUCACGUCAUAUGUGGAAGUGAAAUUAUAUUCUACACUUGGAGAAGCCACUUGCUUCUCUCCCAAAUCGAAUUUGCACACAAUAAAUCUACAGGUAAAACAAAUUUAGUUGUCUGAGUUAAGAUUUUCAUGGUGUCUGUUAGUCUUUAACCUACAGGGCAAAGCUCCUUUGUGAAUGCUUGCUAUGCAGUACUGAGCUCUAUAGGGAGUCUGAUAGUUUUUCUGUAGAACCAAUGUUCUAGCAAUACAAUUAUAUAGGGAGAACAGAGUAAAUGAAAUUAUUCUUAAUAUUAAGAUACAAAUACUUAAAAAGAAAGUGUGAAAUAUUAUAUAAAUAUUAUAAAAUUAUGUAAAUACAAAUUAACAAUCAUAGAUUAUAAACAUAGAAAUAUUGUGUAUAUUUUGUAUUUAUUACAUUUAGAUUAUAUGACAAUAUAUAAUAGAUAUUUUAUAUAAAUGAUGUAUUAAAGAAUUAUUUUCUAUUACAGAAAAUGACACAAUAAUUAUAUUAUUGUGCUGUGUAUAUAUUUAAAAUAUUUGUAUAUAUUACAUUUUAAAAAUUAAGCUAAAUAGUGGCUUAUUUUGCCUUUUC